rnacentral:rRNA from 1 species
GACGAACGCUGGCGGCGUGCCUAAUACAUGCAAGUCGAACGCUUCUUUCCUCCCGAGUGCUUGCACUCAAUUGGAAAGAGGAGUGGCGGACGGGUGAGUAACACGUGGGUAACCUACCCAUCAGAGGGGGAUAACACUUGGAAACAGGUGCUAAUACCGCAUAACAGUUUAUGCCGCAUGGCAUAAGAGUGAAAGGCGCUUUCGGGUGUCGUUGAUGGAUGGACCCGCGGUGCAUUAGCUAGUUGGUGAGGUAACGGCUCACCAAGGCCACGAUGCAUAGCCGACCUGAGAGGGUGAUCGGCCACACUGGGACUGAGACACGGCCCAGACUCCUACGGGAGGCAGCAGUAGGGAAUCUUCGGCAAUGGACGAAAGUCUGACCGAGCAACGUCGCGUGAGUGAAGAAGGUUUUCGGAUCGUAAAACUCUGUUGUUAGAGAAGAACAAGGACGUUAGUAACUGAACGUCCCCUGACGGUAUCUAACCAGAAAGCCACGGCUAACUACGUG